CCUACGGGUGGCAGCAGUGGGGAAUAUUGCUCAAUGGCCGUAAGCCUGAACCAGCGAAGUCGCGUGAGGGAAGAAUGCCCUAUGGAUUGUAAACCUCUUUUGUGCGGGAGUACAGGUGUGGACGUGUGGAUGUUUGCAGGUACCGCAUGAAUAAGGACCGGCUAAUUCCGUGCCAGCCGCCGCGGUAAUACGGAGGGUCCGGGCGUUAUCCGGAUUUAUUGGGUUUAACGGGAGCGUAGGCCGGCCUGUAAGCCUGCCGUGAAAUGUUGUGGCUCAACCAUGGGAGUGCCGCUCAAACUGGAGACCUGGAGUGGGGGAGAGGCACGCGGAAUUCGUGGUGUAGCGGUGAAAUGCUUAGAUA
rnacentral:rRNA from 1 species